rnacentral:lncRNA from 1 species
AAAUGGCUGAUGGGAAGGCGGGAGAGGAGAAGCCGGAAAAGUCGCAAUGAGCUGGAGCUGCUGGAGUAAUGGAGAGGAAAGUUCCAGCCGCAGCGCUGAGAAGCGAUCAGCUGAAGAAGAAGCUGCAGACCUCCAACAAAGCCUGCAAAGAUCUCCAACUUUGGAUUUGCCAUAGGUAGUCAGACGACAAAGAAAGCAUCACCCAUAUCCAUCAAACUUGGAUCAAGUAAGCCUAAAGAAACUGUUCCAACUCUUGCUCCAAAAACUCUUUCAGUAGCAGCAGCUUUUAAUGAAGAUGAAGAUAGUGAAUCAGAGGAAAGGCCUCCAGAAGCAAAGAUGAGGAUGAAGAAUAUUGCAAGGGAUACACCAACAUCAGCUGGACCAAACUCCUUCAAUAAAGGAAAGCAUGGGUUUUCUGAUAACCAGAAGCUAUGGGAGUGGAAUAUAAAAUCUCAUCUUCGAAAUGUCUAUGACCAAGACA